CACGUAGGGCGCAAGCGUUGUCCGGAAUUAUUGGGCGUAAAGAGCUCGUAGGCGGUCUGUUGCGUCCGCUGUGAAAACUCGGGGCUUAACCCCGAGCCUGCAGUGGAUACGGGCAGACUAGAGGUAGGUAGGGGAGAAUGGAAUUCCCGGUGUAGCGGUGAAAUUCGUAGAUAUUGGGAAGAACACCGGUGGCGAAGGCGGCGAGCUGGCCUGUACCUGACGCUGAGGCGCGACAGCGUGGGGAGCAAACAGG
rnacentral:rRNA from 1 species